rnacentral:misc_RNA from 1 species
AGAAGUUCCUCUUUCCCGUCUUCUGUUUUUGUCUGUGCGUCUCUCCUCCAAAUCGCAAAGCUAGGGUUUCGACUUUGCUCGCCAGCCGACAUUCCUUACAGGACUUGAGCUAUGGGAAAGAGGAAGUCAAGAGCAAAGCCUCCUCCUAAGAAGAGAAUGGACAAGCUUGACACUGUCUUCAGUUGUCCUUUCUGCAACCAUGGCACUAGUGUCGAAUGCCGAAUUGAUAUGAAGAAUUUAAUUGGUGAAGCAGUAUGCGCAAUAUGCCAAGAGAGCUUUAGCACUACCAUCAC